AAUACAUAGGAAUCUACCCUGUCGUGGGGGAUAACGUAGGGAAACUUACGCUAAUACCGCAUACGACCGAGAGGUGAAAGCGGCGGACCGCAAGGCGUCGCGCGACUGGAUGAGCCUAUGUCCGAUUAGCUAGUUGGCGGGGUAAUGGCCCACCAAGGCGACGAUCGGUAGCUGGUCUGAGAGGAUGAUCAGCCACACUGGAACUGAGACACGGCCCAG
rnacentral:rRNA from 1 species